CAUCAUUCGUCUCCGUCUCUCGACAAAAUCACAUCUAAGAAGCAUUUCAAAGAUAAGAUCAAAUCAAAUCAAAUCUUCAAAGGUAUAAUUUUGAUAAUUAUCUCUCUUCAAAGUUUACAUCUCAAUUAGAAAUAUCUUUGAUCAACUAUGUUUAUGUGCAUGUGCAGAUUAAUGAAAGGUGAAAGCGAAAAUCAGAAUGCGAAAUUUGCUGAUCAGUUCGAGACUGACCUUCCUGUUGAAGGUGAUCCAAACACUAAUGAUGAUGUUGUAGACGUCUAUUUCUUUAUGAACUAAAGAAGUUUGAUCAAGAAACAUUCAGGGGCUACUGCUACUUUGCUGCGAUAAUUAUGUAUUGUCAACCAUAUCAGUUUGUUAAAUAU
rnacentral:lncRNA from 1 species